rnacentral:rRNA from 1 species
UACGUAGGGUGCGAGCGUUAAUCGGAAUUACUGGGCGUAAAGCGUGCGCAGGCGGUUCGUUGUGUCUGAUGUGAAAGCCCCGGGCUUAACCUGGGAAUGGCAUUGGAAACUGGCGAGCUGGAGUGUGGCAGAGGGGGGUGGAAUUCCGCGUGUAGCAGUGAAAUGCGUAGAGAUGCGGAGGAACUCCGGUGGCGAAGGCGAGGUGCUGGGUCCUUUCUGACGCUGAUGCGCGAAAGCCAGGGGAGCAAACGGG